GUUGUGUUCCAGUUUUGUGAGCUUGCAGGUUUCUUCCCCUGCCAUGGAAGACGAAAAUGAUGAUUGGAACUUGUGGUGUUAAAAAUGCCUGCCUGAUUAAAACCUUAAAUAGGUCUUUAAAGAUGAGGCCCUAGUGUCAUGUGACUCUUUAGGUGAGCCAAACUGCACUUUGGUAUGGGGAGUCUCGAGAAACAGUGUGCGCAGGCAGCAUUAGCCCCAGAGGCUGGCAAGGCGGCUGAAUGGAUGCAGACGAGCUGCUCUCCCCAAGCGGGCGGGCUCUGCCAACACCUGUGAAGUGAAAACCCGUCUGCGCCGCAGAUCUUCUGUGUUGUACUGGACCCAGCCCUUUCCAGCUGAGCUGUGGUGACCCUAAACACUGUCCUGAGAUAUGUUUUGGGGCUGCUGUCUGGGCUCUGGUGCUACUUGCAGCUGCUCUUGAAUAUCUUCAACUGAUCAUCAGCUGGAAUAGCUGAAGUGAAACAAACUUCCCAUGAUCCACCUACCUUGAAGAACAGAAUCACUCUGGUAGGAGUAAAUUAUUGUGAGUGAGAAAAGCCUGACUGCUGGCUGCCUUUCUUGCCUUCCAAAUCUUAGAGCAGUGAGAAAUGGAGACAUGGUUUGGGUCAGCAUCCAGGUACAGAGCACGCUUCACCUGCCAUGAACUGGGGAUGGGGAAGCAAAGGGAAGAGUGCUGCUCUCAGAAGGCUUCCUGGUAGGGAGAAUCCUCAGUAGCAGAGCUGCUCCGAGCUGCUGGGGCAUGCAGAGGAGCUGCAGAUGGGGCCGAGAGUCCAGCUUGAUACUUCUCUGGUCAGCCACCAGUUACAGCAUUAUCAAAUGCUCACUAGAGGUGGGUACCAAGGUGCUACAAGGGCUGAAGGCAAAUCAGGGGGUCUGCUUUUAAUGAAAAGAUAGUUUUACACACAGCAUCUUUCUUACUAUAAUGACAAAAUGGGUAUGAAACAGUUACACUCCAGACCCUUACUUUUUUUUUAGUGCUAUUUAUUUUUUUCACAACAUUUAAAACAAAACAAGCAAAAAAGGAAGGGAACAAAAAACGAAAAAGAAAACUCCCUUCAGACAACAAUCACCUUUUGAGUUAAAUUCUCAUGCUUGGUCUUAGCCCAGAGGGAUUUGUCUUGAGUGAAGUUCGAAGAAAAUCCUUUCAGCAGUUUCUGAGUUACUUAAAUGUAACCAUGGAAGUUUGGAUUCAGAUGCUUUUUUUUUUUACUUAUAUAACUCAAAAAUAGCUUUGCUUUAAAACUUUUAAAUUAACCCUCCUUAACUUUUCAACUUGUCACCUAUCCUACUGUAUGGCUUAUAAAAUUUUAAAGCUAAUAGUAUAACAAACUCAAAUAAUGAUACUGCAGAUGUUCAAAUGAAUCUUGGGAGAAAUAAAUUAUAGGAGGUACAGUGGGUUGUUACUGAAGAAAGAGCGGCUGCAUGCCUUAAACCAUGUGUUCUUUCUGGUCUGAAAAAGGCUCAGUUUUUUUCUACUAUUAAGAAGCAUAAGUGUUCUGGGUGUGGAUUUUAAUACUUCGCUACACAUAUAAAAUUAAGCAUGUAAGUCCUGUUCCUUUUUUUCCUCCUGAUAGCCCAAUGUCAAAAUAUUUUCUUAAAUUUUCCUGCUCUCUUUUUAACACAAUCCCAAUCAACAGGACACUUAAAGUCUCCUAAAUAUUUAUGGAGUUCAAAGUCACUGCAAUGCUCUGCGAUGCUCUUACUAUUAUUAUUUUAUUGCCAGCAGAUUGAGGCAAUGAGAGGUGAAGUGUCUUGGUAAGUAACGUUUUUUUUCCAUUUUCUUUGUCCAAUCUUCCUGUUGCUCUCUGAUGUUUCUUCCUGUUUGUCUUCUUUCCAACAUUUCUGCCUCACUUACUAGUCCCUUUCUCACUGUCUCCUAUCUAUCUUUCAACCAUCUUUCUCCAUUUAUUCUUCUCCAACAAUUGCACUGAAAAGAGACCACGGUAGAAAUUAUUUUUACUUUGGCAGCCACUUUUUAUUUUUAUCUUUUCCCUGAAUAUCUGGGAUGGGUCCAGGCAGCUCUCCCCACUUUCAUCAUCUCUCUUCACAUCCCUUGUGACCCUGAGCUCUAGUCAGCAAUCUGAUGUCUGCCAUGAGAGCACCUCCCAUUAUCCAAAGCCACAAUCAGACUAAGGUGUUGUAACACUGUGUGUUGCUUUACUUACCACACUUGCUCUGCCGCUUUCUAGGAACUGCACACCUGUGCCAGGUUUUUCUCACAGAAUAAUAAUGACAGCACUGUCGCCUUUUGCACGUCUCUCCUCCUUGCUCCUGUGCCCAUCUUCCUCUCCUGAGCUUUGUGGUUUGGUCUCCUGGUGCAGUGCAGCCAGGAUAUGGGAGACUUGUAUUUAGGCUGUGCCUGAGGCAGUUUGAACUUGAAUCUCUUGCCCCUUGAAUUUGCACCCUGCCCAAGAGAUUAUCAACUCUUCUGUGAGGAGCGUGACCUGAGCCCUUUAAGUGGGAAAGCUUGAGCUUGACUUUUCAGUCUUGAAGUGGAGACACUCACCUGCCUGGGGAAACCACGUCUGCCAGGGCCUGCCCCAGUCAAUAUUUAAAUGCAAGUAUGGAGGUAUUCCCUGGAAGACAGUAGCAAACCCCAGGUUUCUUGCUGUCAGUAGUGCUUUGAGAACAACCACACAGAACAAUCAAUUUAAUCCAUUUAAUUAUUCCAUAUGAGCUGGAACAGCUCCAACAGGAUGGACUGGAGAAAGACUCUGCUCAACAAGAUCCUUUUGGAGCUGUGCUGAGCUCACUUGGCUGCCAUGGGUCAGUUCCCUCAUACCCCAGAGCAGCCAUGGAGCUGCCUCAGCACCACUGAUUUGACAUAGUGAGGACGUGUGGAGACUGGAGGGGAGGGAAGUGUGCUCCUCCACUCUGUUAUCCACGGUGGCAGGUUUGUAGCUGUAGCUGAAACACACACCUGCCAGUGCUGCCUCAGUUACUGCUCUGGACAGGCAUGGCAGCAAAUAUGUGGUGGAGGGAAAAGAAUUCUAUUAAAAGACAGGGCAGCACACUGGAGCAUUACAAGACAAAUUGCUUUUAAAGGUGGAAAUACAAUAAAAAUAGACUAAAGAGUCUUAAAAUACAAAAUCAAUGCCAAAACAGAGAAAGCCAGAAUGACUUCCAGAACUCAGCUAUAGGCAGUUGUCCCCCAGUAUAAGCCAGAUACUGUCAGUGUGUGGGAGACAUCCAGGAAUUUUCUUUCCUACAAAAAUAUUAGGAACAUUAUAUGUUUUAACUGUAAUGGAAAACUAGAGCUCUAGUGCUCAGUUCCAAAGAAGAACUCUAACCAUUAGAAGUGAUGUGGUACAGGGUGUGUGUGUGUGUGUGUGUGUGGCUGCUCCUUUUCUCCUCGAGAUUCUAUAGCUUCCUUCAUUCUUCGCUUCUCUCAUAUUACAGAAAGAAGGUAAUUUUUCCUGGCCAUUUACUAAAGCUCAUUAAAGACUGAAGAGAACAAACAAUGCUAUUCCUUAGAGACUACCAUUCAAAGUCAUUCUACAAUUCUCUGUUCUAAUACUUGAGACAAAUUAAUUAUUCCUUAGUGAAAAGUGUAUAAUUCCUAUUCUUCAUUUUUGGGGUGGGGAGUGGGGAAUAAUAAUAGGAAGUUUAUAUCUGAGUCAAAAGCUGUCUGAGCUGAAGGGAAAUGAGAAAAAAUGUGUGUUCCAAGAAGAGUAAAAGCAAUUACUCUAAUAAUAAUUCUAGGGAUAUUAAUGUCUUUUUAAAGUAAAUUGCUUUCAAAUAAACACCAAAGUUGAAGGCAUAGGAAAGGCUGGUUUAUUUAUUAAUCAUUCCAAACGUGCAUUUUUCUAAAUGAACAAGUGCAUGAGCAACUUCGCUGGCACAUAUUAAAUUUAGUUAAACGGCAACUUGUAAAUAUCUAAAAACUUCUGUAACCAGAGACUAAUUUGUUUAACGUGUUGAAAAUGUUCUGUGGAUGUGAGGAGCUACAUAUUAAACUUCAAAGCAAAAUGCUCCAGAGAUUACACCAUCUUAAAGACUGCAUAUUGGAAAGGCCUUUAUACAUUAAACAUAAAGGACUUUUAAUUCUCUUCUAUUUUGAAUACUUGUCAAUCUGUGUGACUCACGCUUAAGAUUGUAAACUAUCAUUUUAAGGUGUAAGGUCCAAGUUGAGACCUGGACCAUGAUUUGCAAGGGGCUGGCUUUUCUCUUUCAUCUCUAUUAAUUAAUCCUGUUUCAGUUUGCCCAGCGUACACUUCUGUUGACAUCACCUUUUCCAUAUACUUUAAAGAGUCCCCAGAGAGAUCUACUGCAGAACAAAAACUGGACAGAGAAUACAUUUGGAAACCAUUUUAUUUCUCAAUUACCAACCAAAACGUAUGGAAAAGAUUUACACUCUAUCUGAUUUACACAAUAAUUAUACUUUGAAAGCUUAGAAAUAAAUGGCUUGAUCCCUGAAAUCAUUAGUUACUAUACCAAAUGUAAUUGGUGUAAACUAAUGAGUUUACUGGAUGGCUGACCCUUAAUUACUGAUUAUAGUUAAACUCUAGCCAAUCAAAAUUUCGUUUACUUAUAAAAGUACAGUGUACUAUUAACAAGCAUUACAUUUCCAAGCAAGCAGCUUUAUGAUUAGUUGUAGCACACAACUCAAGCCUGUUCAGGGCUAUCAAAAGCAGCUUUUUAAUAACAGUGCACUAAGCAACCAUCAUUCUCUUACCUCAGCUUCUAUCAGACAACAGAAAGAAACCACAUAAUUAAUCAUCUCAUGCAAUAGAAAUAAAGCAUCUGGGCCAUAUCCAGGUGGGAUAUACCCAGCCUUUUUAGUUCAAAGAGCUGCAAGAGGCUGGGGAUCUGCCUUAGGAUAGGAUAACUGACAUGGGGAAUUCUGGCUCUCUUGGGGGAGCAGUAUGGAGUAUGGAAAUGAAAUACUGAUUGAUUGAGUGCAGUCCCAUGUGAUGUGGAGAAACCUAUCAACAAAAUAGAUUUAAUAAUUCCUUAAAUUGCAGAAGAUUUCUUGGGCAGAUUCAGUAUGUCGUGAUGGGACAUAUGAUUCCUGUACUGGCAAUCCCAAAAAUCUAGAAGUCAUGAUUCCUCACUAUUUAUUAGUUCAAAUGGAGAAUGUUUUGGUUUUUUUUUUUUUUUUUAAUAAAAUGCUAAAUGGGAACAAAUUAUUUUUAUUUGUCUCUGCUUGAUCUUUAAGAACUAAUGUUUUGCCUAACCAGGAAGACUCAAAAUUCCUAGUAAAAAAGUUGAAAGCAGAUUUCUAUAUAGACCACGAUUCCAGAGUUGGAACUUAAAAGAGGUACACUAAAUAUUUUAAUAAAAUCAUGAGCCUUUACAAUGCGUACAGUCACAUCCUUAAAGAUACUUAGGUAAAUGACUCCAGUGAUUUAAAGAUGUGGAAAUUCUCCAUCUCCUAGAUCAUUCCUGUGAAUCCUAAACUUCAGAUAGGAGAUGGAUACCAGAAGUCACAAGCAGAAUAUCAGGUGCUAUGGAGGUUUUAGUUGGAAGAAUAUGUAUUUGCUGGAGCUCUGCACUCUGUGCUCUGCAGAUGACCCAACAGAUCUCACAGCUGCAAGGGUUAAUUCUGUCAUGAUUGCAGGUCUCUCCUAUUUCUGUUUUUCUCUAUGAACCUUACCUGCUGGCCCUUUGGAACAAGUACUGUAACGCUUGCCCACUUGUUAGUAUAAACAUUUUCUUAAAACUCAGAAAUUUAAGAAUGAAGUAGUUCUCAGAAUAUCUGCACAUGGGUUAAAGUGAAAUUUUUUAUUUACUGAAUUCCUGUUUGUGAGAUGUGUCUGGGGUCAAGAAAAGGUUAAAGUUGUUUACUGCCUUCAAGCUCUGGUCUUAGAAGUUAAUUCAGAACUGUGCUUUGAGCAGCUACAGAGAGUAGUAAGUCCUUGCAGCAGUGAAUUGCUGGUUUGAUGUCAAGGUCCAUGGGCCUUAAUCAUAAAAUUAGUUUGUUUCUUAAGGAAACCCUAGCAGGGACUUUAUGGUUAUAUAAGUCAUUAUACUUUUUUACAACACAGCUUUAAAGAUGCUUCAGAAUGAUCAGAGUUUGUAGGAAGGGAUCAUGGUUUUUAUUAUUUGUGGAGUAUCCUCAAGCUGUCAUAGCUACAGCACUGCCACUUGGAAUAGCUGCUUCACAGUUCAAAAGAAAAGACAAAGGAUUUGUUGAAGCCUAAGUCAGGCAAUUAGGGCAUAUCUGUCCAGAGAAAGCUCAUUGAAUUGAAUGGAUUCCAUGUACUUCCUGACAACUGACUCCAGUUUUGUAGGAUCUGUAUAUUUGGGGCAAUCAAGGUGUUUUAUUACAAUUCCACAAGAGCAGAUAGAGGGCCUAUGAAGCUCUACAAGCUCUGCUUUUCACAGUUCUCUGAUGGAGAAUUUAGGGGUGAUUUUGAAAAUCAUGGAAAAGGAGGAAGGCAUAUUUUCCAAAACCUUGAGAAAAGACAAAGGAAACACUAGACUACACAAAAACUUUGCUGUCCACCCUCUGCACAGCAGUGCUGGUAAGAACAAUGCUGCUAUUUCUGAAUUGCUAACACUAAGACAACAGCCUCCAAUGCAGAAGGGAGACAAGAACCAUUGUUUUAGGAGGAGGGGAGCACACUAGAGACAGGUUCACUCUCCCCAGCCUGCCAUCCCUGCGGCACAGAGGAAAGGGGGAGCUUCUGGAAUGACUGGUGGAACAAGCACCAAAGGGCCCCACUUCCCUCCUUUUCUGUAAAGCCUGUAUAACUCUUUCUGUGAAAGAAAGCAUCAAGCCCCAUCUUGUUCAUGGAAAUACAACAUAUUUGAAAGCCGUAGUUAAUGGAUAAACUGUUUUCUGAUUGGAUGAGCCACACAAUAAAUCUCUUCCCAAGCCAAGUGCAAUGCAGCUUAUUCAGUUACAGUGAAAUGAGCCACUGUCACUUUGCUGCACUUGCAUACACCAGGCAAAAUUCUUCCAUCUUCAUCAGUCUCUUAGUGAAAUAGAAAUAAAACAAUUUUAACAGAAUGGUGUCACUGGAUCUGUGGCACCUGCUUUAAAAAUAAAUCUCUUAGCUUUGUCUUCACCAUUACUUUCAAUAAAUGUCCUAGCAUUGCCACAGCAUUUAUCUAGCAGCAGGAAACCAUUAUCCUAUGACAACAAUCUAUUCCAUUAACAUUAGCUCUUAAUUGUAAGAUUGUUUAUAAGACAGGAAAAGCUACUGAAUCAUAGUAGAAUGAUAAAAAGAGUUAUGGUCAUGGAGUAUAGUAGUCCCUCCAGUUAUGAAAAAUAACCUAGGAGUAGAAAGCUAUAUUUUUAUAUGAAAAAUAAUGUAAUAUUCUUAUGCAAUUUAAUGUUUUUAAAUAAUGGAUUACAUCAGGAAGGUAGCUAUUAAAGAGUUAAUGUUAAAAACUGUUAAUAAGAAACUCUUUCUUUGAUAAUGGUAUGGCUGUAAAACUAAAUAAAAGCCUAGAAACUCUCCUUCUUCAUUUUAUCAAUGCUGCACCAAGCCAGAGAAAUCAUAAUAACAGAAGCACAUUUGUCUGGUGGAGUGAACAGAAGAAAUGUUGCAGAAUUGAGAUAUGAAGAACCUCACUGCAGAAUAGAAGGAGAACUGUCAUUCUGAUUCUUUGUCAUUAUUGUUUCAUGUCCAGUUAAGUGAACUUAAAGUGACAGUUGUGUCAUAACUGCGGGCAUCUAUGUAAAUUUCAAAUCAAAUACGAUAGAGGCAUUUCUGCCAGACAGAAGUCACCAGGCUGCUCUUCCUCUUCAUUUUUGUAACCCUCCAUUUUCUCAUGCCAUUGCUGGUAGCCCUUAAAUUAAAAAGACAACUUCAAGAGGGGAUCUCUGUGAUCCGUGUGUUUCAGUGCUCAGCCUGUACCUUGCUUUCUUUCAGCUUUUUGAAACAAUGCCCAGUGUCAAAUUUCCACCAGAAGCAGUCACCACAAACAUCUAGAUGGAUUAGCUAAACCUGUGCCUUCCCAUUAAUGAUGUAUCACACAAGAAGACCCUGUGAAGUUUUAGGUUGAGAACGUCCCCUGAAGACCUACAGAGAAAACAGCUCAAGCAAAUGUUCCUGCAUUGGUUUACUGCAGCCCAAGCCAGACGUCUUCUCUGUGAAUAGAGCAAAAUAGGCAGAAAACAUUGGUCAUGGACUUUUCUGUACAGUACAGCAUUGUUCAGAGAUCAUGGGAACUUCAUAAAGAUAUCAGACAUACUUCUCCAUUGCAAUGAGCUACAUGUAAAUAAUUAAUUUCCUGGAAACACUCAGAUAUUCUAAUUACACAGGAUUUGCUACUGGACACACAUCUUUGAAAAUAAUUUCAGUGCAAUUAUAAAGGUAUUUUGUGUGAAUAACACCAUGAAAAAAUACUAAACAUGCUAUUUAUUCACUCAGGGAAAAUAUACUAUUUAUUUUUUUCUGCAUAUUUAAAGUUACUUGGCUAAUUAAUUAGAUAAUAAAAGCUAGAGUUAAGUUUUCAUUUUUCAUUGCAACACAUUGCAUAAAUGAUACUGUUAUAAAUGUGUACCUCUGCAUUAGGUAAGCGCAUUUUGGUCAGCUGAUUGAGUCAGAUUUUUAUUUUAAUUCCUUUCCAGUUGAUCUUUUUUGUAGUGUAAAUUUAAAGUAGCAUGGUGACUACUUUUACCUGUAAUUUGGGCCUUCCAAACAGCACCAAAUUGUGCUGUCCCGCCCUUCCAUUUGUUACAGUGACUAGUGAAAAGAAGCAACAUAUUAAUGCCAGUCCUAUAAAAGUAUCUGUGAAGAAAACAGUUUUUUACCACAAAGGGUAAGUUCUAUAUGAGUUUAUAUUAGGUAUUUGUCAAAGGACUUUUUUUUCCCUGUUAAAGAUGGAGUCAUAUGAAUCAUAAAAAUAUUAAUAUUUGAGACAAAAUAUCACUACAGGUAUGUCACCACAAAAAUCAAUUGUCAGUAUAUGUUUAAGAGUAGCAAAUCAAUGUUAACUGAUUUGCCUAAAAAUGCCUAUAGACUGUGGAAUGUAAAGCCCUCCUUCAAAAUUCACAUAGCAUGUCCAGUUUUUUUAAAUGAACUUGUUAUUACAUACACAUAUUCUAGAGGCCUUUCAAGAGUUUCAAUUUUAAACAAAAAUUAUAUGUAAAUGCAAAGUCUGAUAUCUUGCCUGUAGUCACAGAACCCACUUACAGGACUUGCUGCUACUGCUGGUUUGUGGUAAUGCAUCAAUUUCGCAUGAGCUCAGGACAAAUUGGUGAACAUAAUUUCAGCCACAUGAUGUCAUUACAAAUACAGCCUUAGCUCUUUCAAAAGUGGACUUUAUUGUUAAUAUAAAUAUAUAUAUGUAAUUACUGACAUUUAUAUUAUUUGGCUCCUGUCCUAAGUUAUAGAUACAGUGAUGAUAAAAGGGUCUUGCCAGCCCUUACCUAAGAAAACUGUGUUUACUAAUUACCUCCCAUGGUUCUGGGUUCCUGUAAAUAAAGUCACGCAUGUAUUUAUAAGCAAGUUAAAAUCUAUACACAUAUUUCUAAACAUAACUUAUCUUACUCUUUUGGGCAAACAGUACUGUCUACUGCUCAGAAAAGAAUGCUAAGAGUGAAUUCAUCCAGGAUUCUUCCCAGCUUCUGCCAGGAUGUGACUCUGCCGUAUCACUGGCUAUCCAACUUAAAUACUUAAUCCAGUCACAUUUUUAAAUUGAUUGAGGCCUGAACCAGAAGAUGCUAUGUGAGUAAAAGGAUGCAUUACUUUAAAA
rnacentral:lncRNA from 1 species